ACUCAUAGCAGCCAACAACAGGGCUCUGCUGGCAGGUGGUCCGUCUGACGUGGUGGGCCGUGUGCCGAGACUCCGUGUACUACACCAUCUCUGUCAUCGUGCUCAUCGUGUUCAUAUAUGAUGAACAAAUUGUGUGGUGGGAAGGCCUGGUGCUCAUCAUCUUGUAUGUGUUUUAUAUUCUGAUCAUGAAGUACAAUGUGAAGAUGCAAGCCUUUUUCACAGUCAAACAAAAGAGCAUUGCAAACGGCAACCCGGUCAACAGUGAGCUGGAGGCUGGUAAUGAUUUCUAUGACGGUAGCUAUGAUGACCCUUCCGUGCCAUUGCUGGGGCAAGUGAAGGAGACGCCACAGUAUGGCAAGAACCCCGUGGUGAUGGUGGACGAGAUCAUGAGCUCCAGCCCUCCCAAGUUCACCUUCCCUGAAGCAGGCUUACGAAUCAUGAUCACCAAUAAGUUUGGACCCAGGACCCGACUACGGAUGGCCAGCAGGAUCAUCAUUAAUGAGCGGCAGAGACUGAUCAACUCGGCCAACGGUGUGAGCAGCAAGCCGCUUCAAAACGGGAGACACGAGAACAUUGAGAACGGGAAUGUUCCUGUGGAAAACCCCGAAGACCCUCAGCAGAAUCAGGAGCAGCAGCCACCGCCACAGCCACCACCGCCGGAGCCAGAGCCAGUGGAGGCUGACUUCCUGUCCCCCUUCUCCAUGCCGGAGGCCAGAGGGGACAAGGUCAAGUGGGUGUUCACCUGGCCCCUCAUCUUCCUCCUGUGCAUCACCAUUCCCAACUGCAGCAAGCCCCGCUGGGAGAAGUUCUUCAUGGUCACCUUCAUCACCGCCACGCUGUGGAUUGCUGUGUUCUCCUACAUCAUGGUGUGGCUGGUGACUAUUAUCGGAUACACACUUGGGAUCCCGGAUGUCAUCAUGGGCAUUACUUUCCUGGCAGCAGGGACAAGUGUUCCAGACUGCAUGGCCAGCUUAAUUGUGGCGAGACAAGGCCUUGGGGACAUGGCAGUCUCCAACACCAUAGGAAGCAACGUGUUUGACAUCCUGGUAGGACUUGGCGUACCGUGGGGCCUGCAGACCAUGGUUGUUAAUUACGGAUCAACAGUGAAGAUCAACAGCCGGGGGCUGGUCUAUUCCGUGGUCCUGUUGCUGGGCUCUGUUGCUCUCACCGUCCUCGGCAUCCACCUAAACAAGUGGCGACUGGACCGGAAGCUGGGUGUCUACGUGCUGGUUCUCUACGCCAUCUUCUUGUGCUUCUCCAUAAUGAUAGAGUUUAACGUCUUUACCUUCGUCAACUUGCCGAUGUGCCGGGAAGACGAUUAGCGCUGAGUCGCGCCCCUGGGAGCUGAUCUGGACACUCUGUGACACUGGCGUCCUCCUCUCCCCUCCUUCCCCCACCACAGGUCUCUCCUGCAUAGGCAGCCACUGUCCGUUCUUUCACACACCGGAAGGAAGAGCCAUCGUGGUCUUUGUCUGGUCACAGGCCAGGCUGCUGGGCAUCCUCCUCCUCCUUGGAGUUCCGCCCCUGCAAGGCUGGAUUUGGGGGCCAUUAUCUGAGCAGCUUCGAAGACCCCUGAGCUGCCAACUACGGAGAUGUGCCAAGCAUCUCAUCUCUC
rnacentral:sRNA from 1 species